UCUGCAUUUACAGCUCCACCUACAUCUUCCCAGCAAUUAAAGCCUUCUCCUCCAGCAUUCAAGUCGACUACACAUUCGAGAGGAGAUCGGAGUUCAAGAAGCCAUUCCUCUACUUCAGCUUAAAAGCGUUUGAGGGCUUCUAAACUCCUCUUUUGAUUAUAUUGUUUUACAUCUGCUUUUGAGAAGCUUAUUUUCCUUUCUUUCUAUAACUUAUAUUUACUUGGUUCAAUCGGGGGAUUGAAUCAAGGGGACUAACGUUGGUUGGUGAGCCAAGUUAAAAACCAACGUGUGUAAGGGUUUGAUUGUGAGCCCGGAAAAACAAUCGGGGUUGGUUCUAGUCGGUGAGCCUGGGAAAACCGACCGAGUUCGUUGUGAGCUCGUAAAACAACAAGUUUGGUUGUGAGCUUGCAAAACAACCGGCUGUAAUCCAAGGGGGUUAUAGUGAAUUCCCAAGAGAGACUUGGGGAGUGGACGUAGGAGCAAGGGGUAGCUCCGAACCACUAUAAAACUCUGUGUUUGCAUUGGAUUGUCUCUCUUCUUUUUUCCCUCACAUCACUCACAGCACUUAGCAUUAAUUAAAUAACUUGCAAUAGUUUUUAAUUAAUCAACCACAUCGUUUUAAUUAUCUAAAUUAUUUU
rnacentral:lncRNA from 1 species